rnacentral:misc_RNA from 1 species
CAGAGUUCUCGCCCCCACGGGUAGAUCUCCCACCCACUGUUAUCGUUACCAUCGUUGCUUUGGCGGGCCGCCGGGCCCUGCCCGGCCCCCGGCGCCGGCUGGGGCGCGCCCGCCAGAGGCCCUACAAACUCUGAAUGUCAGCGUCGUCUGAGUACUAUACAAUAGUUA